GGAAGGAGAAGUCGUAACAAGGUUUCCGUAGGUGAACCUGCGGAAGGAUCAUUGUCGAAUCCUGUAAAAGCAGCACCGCGAACAUGUUAAACCACAUCGGGAGCGUGGGUCGGGGAAACCCCAACCCUCGUUCUCCUUCCGCAGCACGUGCGCCUUGGUGUGCGUGGUGCGGCUAACGAACCCCCGGCGCGGAAAGUGCCAAGGAAAACUCAUAGAAGCGUCCGCCCCUCGUUGCCCCGUUUGCGGUGCGUGGUGGGGGGAGUGGAUGUCUCUCCAAUGUCAUAACGACUCUCGGCAACGGAUAUCUCGGCUCUCGCAUCGAUGAAGAACGUAGCGAAAUGCGAUACUUGGUGUGAAUUGCAGAAUCCCGUGAACCAUCGAGUCUUUGAACGCAAGUUGCGCCCGAAGCCUUCCGGCUGAGGGCACGUCUGCCUGGGCGUCACGCAUCGCGUCGCCCCCCUCCCCGUCUUCUUUCCAGUGGGCGAUUGGGUGGUGGGGGCGGACAUUGGCCCCCCAUGCGCUGUGUCGCGUGGUCGGCCUAAAUUCAAACCCGUGGCAACUCACGUCACGACAAGUGGUGGUUGAACAUUCAACUCUCGUGCUGUCGUGCCGGUUUGAGUUACACGUCGUGCAAUGUGGUAGACCCAAUGGCACAAUUUGAUUGUGCCUUCGACCGCGACCCCAGGUCAGGCGGGAUUACCCGCUGAGUUU
rnacentral:rRNA from 1 species